UGUCUUCCGGAAAGUUAAUUC
rnacentral:piRNA from 1 species